rnacentral:snRNA from 1 species
UAUGCUCAGUUCCAACACCACACACACAAAACUGGAAUGAAAUUAGCAUGGCCUCUGUGCAAGGAUAACAGGCAACUUGGCUAAGUGUUUUUA